GUGUGUGGGUUGCACCCUCCCUGCACACACGUUAAUGUGGCUGUAUGUGUGGGUGCACACACAUACACUAGUCCCAAGCCUAGGUAAACACAGAGGGAUUG
rnacentral:ribozyme from 1 species